rnacentral:rRNA from 1 species
GAUGAACGCUAGCGGCAGGCCUAAUACAUGCAAGUCGAGGGGCAGCAGGAAUAGCAAUAUUUGCUGGCGACCGGCGCACGGGUGCGUAACACGUAUACAAUCUGCCUUCUACAGGGGGAUAGCCUUUCGAAAGAGAGAUUAAUACCCCAUAAUAAAUUGAAUAGCAUUAUUUGAUUUUGAAAGUACCGUCGGUAGAAGAUGAGUAUGCGGGUGAUUAGUUAGUUGGUGAGGUAACGGCUAAGCAAGGCAACGAUCACUAGGGGAUCUGAGAGGACUACCCCCCACACUGGUACUGAGACACGGACCAGACUCCUACGGGAGGCAGCAGUAAGGAAUAUUGGACAAUGGAGGCAACUCUGAUCCAGCCAUGCCGCGUGCAGGAUAAAGGCCCUAUGGGUCGUAAACUGCUUUUGUACGAGAGAAAACCUAUUUACGUGUAGAUAGUUGAUAGUAUCGUAAGAAUAAGGAUCGGCUAACUUCGUGCCAGCAGCUGCCGUAAGAC